AUAAACAAAAUGGUAUAAAACAAUUUGCUUCUAUCACAGCCCACCAUAUAGUACCAAAAUUCGUAUUUUAUGUAUUCCCAUCUAAUAUUCCACUCCUGUAAAAAAUAAAUCAAUCACAUUAUCAAUAUGUAAAAAAAAAAUAUUUGUCAAAAAAUUAAUAAAUUAAAUUUCAAAUAAGUAAAAAUAUUUUACAUAAAGAAAAAGAGAUUUUUGCCUUUGAAAGGGAUUCGAAACCUUGUUUCUGGUUAUCACAUGUUCCCGUUCAUAAAAGAUGAAUUCAAGAUUGGGCUGCAAGAAAGAUAUGCAUUAGAUGGUUCGCAGGACCACCAGACCGAUUUCCAUUAUUCUUGAUGGGAAUAUAAGAAGGUACUUUAAUGGACCGCUAAACAUUUAUAAAAUUAUUCCAAUAAAUUAAAAAUUUAUAUUAUUAUAAAUGACAAAUAAAAUUGACUUACCAUCAUAAA